rnacentral:lncRNA from 1 species
UGACGUAGUUAUCAGGUGCGGAGAGUGAGUCCGUUUGACUCCUGGCGAGGCAACCGGCCUCACAACUACGUUUGCAAUUUUUUCUCCAGUGAUCCUCCCAAGCUCUGUGCUUCAGCAGCAGGGUCCUUGAACAUGUGAUUCCAAAUGCCGGAAACAUCAGAUGUCACUGUCCAAUCUCUUUUCUCAGCGAAACCUUUCCCGAUUCCUCUAGAUAAGGUUCCCUGAUCAACUGUGCUGACAACACAGGAGCCAAAAAUCUGUAUGUCAUCUCUGUGAAGGGGAUCAAGGGAUGGCUGAACAGACUUCCUUGCUGGUGUGGGUGACAUGGGGAAGGCCACAGUCAAGAAAGACAAACCAGAGCUCAGAGAAAAGGAAUGAAAUUAUUUUGGUAGAGCAGAAUGAGCAGGACAUCACUACAGAGCAUCCCUUGGUGGUCCUGGGGAAUAUUGCACAAGGUGCCUACCUUUGCUUGGGUGUGUGCUCCUGUCAGUUGUGUAAAGCCAAAUGAACUUGAAGCAGAUUGUGUGGUGAUAAUUCAUAUUAUAGACACUUUAGCAUUUACAGUAAGGAUUGGUCUUCUUACUUGCAACUUCUGCUAGUGAUACAAUGUGAGGAUGUGAGAUACCCUUAGUGCUUCAACUUU